rnacentral:rRNA from 1 species
GACGAACGCUGGCGGCGUGCUUAACACAUGCAAGUCGAACGGAAAGGCCCUGCUUGCAGGGUACUCGAGUGGCGAACGGGUGUGUAACACGUGGGUGAUCUGCCCUGCACUUCGGGAUGAGCCUGGGAAACUGGGUCUAAUACCGGAUAGGAGCCAUUUUUAGUGUGAUGGUUGGAAAGUUUUUUCGGUGUAGGAUGAGCUCGCGGCCUAUCUGCUUGUUGGUGGGGUAAUGGCCUACCAAGGCGGCGACGGGUAGCCGGCCUGAGAGGGUGGACGGCCACACUGGGACUGAGAGACGGCACAGACGCCUACGGGAGGCAGCAGUGGGGAAUAUUGCACAAUGGGCGCAAGCCUGAUGCAGCGACGCCGCGUGUGGGAUGACGGCCUUCGGGUUGAAAACUCCUUUCGCUAGGGACGAAGCUUUUUGUGACGGUACCUAGAGAAGAAGCACCGGCUAACUACGUG